AAAGGGAAGACUAGGAGAGGGUUUGGGAGAAUUGAGGAGCCGCCGUCGAGACUUCGUCCAGAAUCGAUGAAAGCUGACUUCGUGAAGAAACUUGGCAGAAAUUCGGGAAUUGUUCGAGACGGUGAGCAAACUUCUGUGGCUCAAAUCUCAUUCUAUGUUGAGACUAAAAUCACGAAAAAAAAAAAAACCAAGACGUAGCCCUCAACACGAUCUAGAACUUUGCCGAAUGAACCAUAUCGAUCAGAGCUUCAGAUCAAAAGAUAUGAAAAUCAGAAAAUGAUGGAUUGGAAAAGGGCUACGGAUUGCAAGAGAUAGAGAGAAAAGAAAA